GGGCGUAAAGAGCUCGUAGGCGGUUUGUCGCGUCUGCUGUGAAAGCCCGGGGCUCAACCCCGGGUCUGCAGUGGGUACGGGCAGACUAGAGUGCAGUAGGGGAGACUGGAAUUCCUGGUGUAGCGGUGAAAUGCGCAGAUAUCAGGAGGAACACCGAUGGCGAAGGCAGGUCUCUGGGCUGUUACUGACGCUGAGGAGCGAAAGCAUGGGGAGCGAACAGGAUUAGAUACCCUGGUAGUCCAUGCCGUAAACGUUGGGCACUAGGUGUGGGGGACAUUCCACGUUUUCCGCGCCGUAGCUAACGCAUUAAGUGCCCCGCCUGGGGAGUACGGCCGCAAGGCUAAAACUCAAAGGAAUUGACGGGGGCCCGCACAAGCGGCGGAGCAUGCGGAUUAAUUCGAUGCAACGCGAAGAACCUUACCAAGGCUUGACAUUCACCGGACCGCCUCAGAGAUGGGGUUUCCCUUCGGGGCUGGUGGACAGGUGGUGCAUGGUUGUCGUCAGCUCGUGUCGUGAGAUGUUGGGUUAAGUCCCGCAACGAGCGCAACCCUCGUUCUAUGUUGCCAGCACGUGAUGGUGGGGACUCAUAGGAGACUGCCGGGGUCAACUCGGAGGAAGGUGGGGAUGACGUCAAAUCAUCAUGCCCCUUAUGUCUUGGGCUUCACGCAUGCUACAAUGGCCGGUACAAAGGGUUGCGAUACUGUGAGGUGGAGCUAAUCCCAAAAAGCCGGUCUCAGUUCGGAUUGAGGUCUGCAACUCGACCUCAUGAAGUCGGAGUCGCUAGUAA
rnacentral:rRNA from 1 species